rnacentral:tRNA from 1 species
CAGCAAAGCAAGGCACUGAAAAUGCCUAGAUGAGUAUAUUAACUCCAUAAACA